rnacentral:rRNA from 1 species
CCAGUCCGAAGACCGCGCUGCCGCUCGACUUGCAUGUGUAAAGCAUUCCGCCAGCGCGGUCUUCGGAAUGGUGGAGAGCGGCGAACGGGUGAGGAAUACAUCGGAACAUGCCCGGGCAGUUUGGGGAACACUUCGAAAUAAGUGCGCAUACCGCAUACGUCCUGAGGGAGAAAGCGGGGGAUCGCAAGACCUCGCGCGAUUGGAGUGGCCGAUGUCAGAUUAGCUAGUUGGUGGGGUAAAGGCCUACCAAGGCAACGAUCUGUAGCUGGUCUGAGAGGAUGAUCAGCCACACUGGGACUGAGACACGGCCCAGACUCCUACGGGAGGCAGCAGUGGGGAAUAUUGGACAAUGGGCGCAAGCCUGAUCCAGCCAUGCCGCGUGUGUGAAGAAGGCCUUCGGGUUGUAAAGCACUUUCAGCGAGGAGGAAGGGUUGUGUGUUAAUAGCACACAGCCUUGACGUUACUCGCAGAAGAAGCACCGGCUAACUCUGUGCCAGCAUACGCGGUAAUACAGAGGGUGCAAGCGUUAAUCGGAAUUACUGGGCGUAAAGCGCACGCAGGCGGUUGGUUAAGUCAGAUGUGAAAGCCCCGGGCUCAACCUGGGAAUUGCAUUUGAAACUGGCCAACUAGAGUAUGUGAGAGGGGGGUAGAAUUCCAAGUGUAGCGGUGAAAUGCGUAGAGAUUUGGAGGAAUACCAGUGGCGAAGGCGGCCCCCUGGCACAAUACUGACGCUCAGGUGCGAAAGCGUGGGGAGCAAACAGGAUUAGAUACCCUGGUAGUCCACGCCGUAAACGAUGUCUACUAGCUGUUCGUGGUCUUGUACUGUGAGUAGCGCAGCUAACGCACUAAGUAGACCGCCUGGGGAGUACGGUCGCAAGAUUAAAACUCAAAU